UGGGGAAUCUUCCGCAAUGGACGAAAGUCUGACGGAGCAACGCCGCGUGAGUGAUGACGGUCUUCGGAUUGUAAAGCUCUGUUAAUCGGGACGAAUGGUUUGUGUGCAAAUAGUGCAUAGACAUGACGGUACCGGAAUAGAAAGCCACGGCUAACUACGUGCCAGCAGCCGCGGUAAUACGUAGGUGGCAAGCGUUGUCCGGUAUUAUUGGGCGUAAAGCGCGCGCAGGCGGACUAGCCAGUCAGUCUUAAAAGUUCGGGGCUUAACCCCGUGAUGGGAUUGAAACUACUAGUCUAGAGUAUCGGAGAGGAAAGUGGAAUUCCUAGUGUAGCGGUGAAAUGCGUAGAUAUUAGGAAGAACACCAGUGGCGAAGGCGACUUUCUGGACGAACACUGACGAUGAGGCGCGAAAGCCAGGGGAGCGAACGGG
rnacentral:rRNA from 1 species